rnacentral:misc_RNA from 1 species
GAUGAAGAACGUAGUGAAAUGCGAUAAGUAAUGUGAAUUGCAGAAUUCAGUGAAUCAUCGAAUCUUUGAACGCACAUUGCGCCCGUCAGUAUUCUGGCGGGCAUGCCUGUUCGAGCGUCAUUACGCCCCUCAAGUCCCCUGUGGACUUGGUGUUGGGGAUCGGCGAGGCUGGUUUUCCAGCACAGCCGUCCCUUAAAUUAAUUGGCGGUCUCGCCGUGGCCCUCCUCUGCGCAGUAGUAAAACACUCGCAACAGGAGCCCGGCGCGGUCCACUGCCGUAAAACCCACCAACUUUUUAUAGUUGACCUCGAAUCAGGUAGGACUACCCGCUGAACUUAAGCAUAUCAAUAAGCGGAGGA